AUGCAUACGAUUUGAUUGAACAAAGCUUUAUGAAAUAUAAAGUUAAUUCUUGGUAUCACACAAUGCAGUGCUUAUAUUUAGCAUGCAAACUAUAAGUCACUUUUAAUAUUGGACUGAGGAAAUUUGUACAUUUCAUUUCAAUUUAAACGCCGAAGCAAAACGUUCAGGACUUGUUGAUUGAUGUCAUUGUCAAUUGUAAGUUAAUUCUUAUUCAUAUAUUUUUAGUUUGCUGUUCGUUGUGAUCCGAUGUUCCGUGUUGAAGUCCGUACCUUGACCUAUACAAUGCUAUAACGGUUUUCCUUUAUAAAUGGUUAUCUGGAUGGAGAGUUGUCUCAUUGGCACUCAUUCCACAUCUUUCUAUUUCUACUUAACAUAAGAAUUCAAUCGGGAAAAUGAACGACUAAUUUAAAACACAACGUUAAUGUGGCAAUCAUGAACAAAGACAACUACUGAACUACAUGCACGUCACUUGAGACAGGCAUAUAAAGCAUGUAGUGGGGUUAUUCAUGAUUGAAAGCGCCAAAACCACAAUCUUUGAGAGUGGUGUAAUAUAACAACAUAAGAACAAACUAUAAGAAUCCGUUCAAUUCAUCAGAAUUAUAAACACAAACAAUCUUUAAGUACAGAUCUUGGAAUACGUCAUUUAGUACGCGCUUGUUAAAUAAUUACACAUGUGUAGGUCUGUGAACCACAUUUGUGGAUCUUUGACAUAGUUAAAAACCUGAUCUUCAUAUCAAUUUUUACUAGAAAUUUGCCUGUGACGUGACUUUUGUGUCGUUGAUCAAGCCAUGUGAAAGACACUUCGUGUUUUUAUUGUGCUGUUUUCGUGUGUUGACCUAUAUUGUUUUAAUGAAAUUAACGGUACCAAUUUUCUUGCACCAGAUGCUUUUUAAGUGUUUGUGUUCGGUUUUAUAUGAUCAGCAUGUCAUAAUGUAAUAUUGCUUAUUUGUGUAUGUUUCUCUCCUGAAAGUGCUUGCAUUUAUUUUUACUGUAUUCCUAUCAUAUAAUGGUGUCAUUUGAGUGUUAUAUGGUUCGCUUCUGUGUGUUUUAAUGUCGUUUGUUUUUCGGUCACUUAAAUGUUUCUAUUGUUUCGUUGUUUUCCUGAUGUUGAUGUUGAUGUGUUUCCCUCAGUUUUAGUUUGUAACCCGGAUUUGUUUUCUCUCAAUUAAUUUAUGACUUUCAAACAGCGGUUUUCUACUGUUAUUUUACUGAUUGUAUAAUAUAUUAGUUUUAAGGAUGUUCUCUACUCUGUUAAAAAAUAACAAGCUUUUUAAAAGACGGUUAUGAAUUGAUAGUAUAUAAAUAAAGAAACUAAAAAAGUAGAAAAAAUGGAGGGUCCGUGUGGUCGUUUUCGAGAUAUAAGCCAUUAAAAAUUUGACGUGAAAUAAUUCUGUCUAGAUUUUUCAUACAUUUAACAUUGGAACCUCAUUUGUUUUGAAAACUAUGAAACAACAUGAAGAUUUUUAUAAACUUUUGAAAUAUGGCUUUUUAAACUUUAUGUAAUAAAAUCAUGAAAAGAAAAGAAGGGCUUAGUUAACAAAAUAUUUUAAUGACAAUACAUGAAUAAAACCAGAGGAUUCUGAAAAUCUGGUAAAAAAUAAAAAAAAUAGAGGAGAAAACAUCCUUAACACAACGUUUGGAGGCGUACGAACCUGUCACGUGCAGAACCCAAAAUCAUCAUCCCAAUGAUGGAAGCAUAGUGAUACAGAGGAACUAUUAAUUAUUUAAGAACCCUAAAUUUGUUCAUAAAGAUUUGAAAAAUCAAAAGCUUUAUAAUAUGGUGUAUACAAGUUUUGUUACUUUUCAAACUUAAACAUAUCAUUUUAAAAUCAUAUGUUUCCCGAAAUACUUUACUAAGAUACCAUAUUACUUCUGCAAUGUUUCAAGUUGUCAGUUAUUAUAAAAUUGAAGAAGACGAUAUUGUCAAAUAUUAGUCACUAUGAAAUCUCACCUUAAAAUAACCUUUUGAUAUGAUAAUACUUUUGGGGUCUGAUAUUCAAACAGGAGAGGUAUCGACACAGUGCUGUUAAAACGAUCAAGAUUCCUUAACCUUGGACGGUGAUGUAACAUUAUAUGUAAGAACAAACUGUCUCUUAUUUCUAAAAAACUAGAGGCUCUCAAGAGCCUGUAUCGCUCACCUGAUUCUACUUGGGUUUUUGAAAUCAUAUAAAAAAAUAUAAAAUUUGGCUAAAAGUGACAACACAACCUCAUUUAUAAGGAAAGGAACAUGUUUAAUUUCAUUCAAAAGUCCCCACUGGCGGCCAUCUUGGAUGACGGAUCGGCUACAAAGUAACAACACUUGGUCAGCACCUCAUAAGGAACAUUCAUGCCAUGUUUGGUUUUAUUCCAUUCAGUGGUUCUCUAAAAGAAGUCAUUUGUAUGCAUUUCCAAUAGGGUCCUAUGUUAAACUAAGUCCCCUGCUGGCGGCCAUCUUGGAUGAUGGAUCGGCUACAAAGUAACAACUCUUGGUCAGCACCACAUUAGGAACAUUCAUGCCAUGUUUGAUUUUCAUUCCAUUCAUGGUUCUCUAAAAGAAGUCAUUUGUAUGCAUUUCCCAUAGGGUCCUAUGUUAAACUAAGUCCCCUGCUGGCAGCCAUCUUGGAUGAUGGAUCGGCUACAAAGUAACAACACUUGGUCAGCACCUCAUAAGGAACAUUCAUGCAAUGUUUGGUUUUAUUCCAUUCAUGGUUCUCUAAAAGAAGUCAUUUGUAUGCAUUUCCAUAGGGUCCUAUGUUAAACUAAGUCCCCCGCUGGCGGCAAUCUCGGAUAAUGGAUCGGCUACAAAGUAACAACUCUUGGUCAGCACCACAUUAGGAACAUUCAUGCCAUGUUUGAUUUCAUUCCAUUCAGUGUUCUCUAAAAAGUCAUUUGUAUGCAUUUCCCAUAGGGUCCUAUGUUAAACUAAGUCCCCCCGCUGUCGGCCAUCUUGGAUGAUGAUCGGCUACAAAGUAACAACACUUGGUCAGCACCCCAUAAGGAACAUUCAUGCUAUGUUUGGUUUUAUUCCAUUCAGUGGUUCUCUAAAAGAAGUCAUUUGUAUGCAUUUCCCAUAGGCUCCUAUGUUAAACUAAGUCCCCGACUGGCGGCCAUCUUGGAUGAUGGAUCAGCAACAAAGUAACAACACUUGGUCAGCCCUCAUAAGAACAUUCAUGCCAUGUUUGGUUUCAUUCCAUUCAGUGGUUCUCUAAAAGAAGUCAUUUGUAUGCAUUUCCAUAGGGUCCUAUGUUAAUCUAAGUCCCCCGCUGGCGGCCAUCUUGGAUGAUGGAUCGGCUACAAAUUAACAACACUUGGUUAGCACCCCAUAACGAACAUUCAUGCUAUGUUUAGUUUUAUUCCAUUCAGUGGUUCUCUAAAAGAAGUCAUUUGUAUGCAUUUCCCAUAGGAUCCUAUGUUAAACUAAGUCCCCUGCUGGCGGCCAUCUUUGAUGAUGGAUCGGCUACAAAGUAACAACACUUGGUCAGCACAUCAUAAAGGAACAUUCAUGCCAUGUUGGUUUCAUUCCAUUCAGUGGUUCACUAGAAGAAGUCAUUUGUAUGCAUUUCCCAUAGGGUCCUAUGUUAAUCUGGCGGCCAUCUUGGAUGAUGGAUCGGCUACAAAGUAACAACACUUGGUCAGCACCCCAUAAGGAACAUUCAUGCUAUGUUAGUUUUAUUCCAUUCAGUGGUUCUCUAAAAGAAGUCAUUUGUAUGCAUUCCCAUAGGGUCCAUGUUAAUCUAAGUCCAUCUUGCACAAAAGUAACAUCACAAGUUUUAAUUCAAAAAGAAGUCAUUUGUAUGCAUUUCCAUAGGAUCCUAUGUAAACUAAGUCCCCUGCUGGCGCCAUCUUUGAUGAUGAUCGGCUACAAAGUAACAACACUUGUCAGCACAAUAAGGAAAAUCAUGCAUGUUGUUUCAUUUCCAUUCAUGUUUCUCUAGAGAAGUCAUGUUGUAUGCAUUUCCCAUAGGGUCCUUUGUUAAUCUAAGUCCCCCGCUGGCGCCAUCUUGAUAUGAUCGGCUACAAAGUAACAACACUUGUCAGCACCCCAUAAGGAACAUUCAUCCAUGUUUGGUUUCAUCUAUUUAUGGUUCUCUAAAGAAGUCAUUUGUAUGCAUUUCCAUAGGGUCCUAUGUCUAAACUAAGUCCCCGCUGGCGGCCAUUUGAUGAUGGAUCGGCAACAAAAUAACAACACUUGUCAGCACCUCAUAAGAACAUUCAUGCCAUGUUUGUUUCAUUCUAUUUAUGGUUCCUCUAAAAGAAUCAUUUUAUGCAUUUCCCUAGCGCCUAUGUUAACUAAGUCCCCUGCUGGCGCAUCUUGGAUGAUGGAUCGGCUACAAAGUAACAACACUUGGUCAGCACCUCAUAAGGAACAUUCAUGCCAUGUUUGGUUCCAUUCCAUUCAGUGGUUCUCUAGAAGAAGUUCAAAAUGUAAAUUGUUAACGACGACGACGACGGACGACGACGACGGACGACGACGGACGACGAGGACGCCAAGUGGUGAGAAAAGCUCACUUGGCCCUUCGGGCCAGGUGAGCUAAAAACCCAUUCACUUCAAGAAUGAAUCAGAAAAAUCAUAUCACCUUACAUACAUGAUUAAACGUAACAAUAUCAAAAUACUCGCUAUUAUUGAAAAUUAGUUCAAGACAAAUCACCAAUAAUUAAUAAGCUAACUUGUUAUGUUAACUUACAUUAAAAAUAACUUGCCAUGAGAACGAAGACAUCAAAUUACCUUCGAUUGUUUUCUAGUUGAAUCAUAUCACUGCCCACACAUAAGUCAUUAUCAGGAUUUCGAUUUCUUAAACUCAUAGUUUUCUUAUUUAAUGGUACCAUAUAAUUAGUGUUGAAAAAUACGAAUACAAUGGAAAUAUCUCUUCAUAAAAAUGGUGCAUCAUGUAUUGGCCAGCAAAAGGUCAGAUACAAUCUUUUCAAAUGUAUGGAUGUAUAAAAACAAGAGGCCUAUGCCAAUGAUAGACUGUAAAAGAAAAGUCAGGAUUGUCUACGGUAACCGUUGUCCGAAGAAGUUUGGAACUGUUUUAAUAAUAUCUAAUUUUAAUUGUAAUCUUUACAAAUCGAUAUUAUAACUCAAUUGAGAGUCUAUGCAUUGACUACGUGAUUUAUGAUACUAUGGAAAACUAACCUACUAUUUUUUGGAAGUAUAAUAGGUGCAAAUACAUUGUUAUAAAAAUCAACAAAAUCCAUUCUGAUUAUUUCAAGCCGUUCUUAUAUUAAACAGUUGAGCUCAUCUUUAGAUUGAAUUAGUUUUUGAUAGCAUUUAAUAGAUUUUUUCUUAAAACAUUUAAUCUCAAUUUGUGGUCAAUACAAGGAGAUUCAUAGAUAAAGCAUUACACAAAAGUCAAACGACACGAAUAAACAUUAACCGAUGCACAAAAUAUGGUUGAUAAUAAGCAAGUUAAAAAAAAAUACCGUAUCAUGAUAAAAUCAUGACAUUUUUGGCUAUGCAAGACAAAAUGUGAACAAUUGUGUGCAUGUCAAACCUAUGUUGCUAGGGUCUUUGUUUUAAUGUCGUUCAAAUUACAAUACAUGUUUAAAUUAAUGUAACGGGAGAACUUAAGGUUAUUUAAACACAACAUUACUAUUCAAAAUCAUAAACAUGAAACCAUACUUCAAGUAUGCUAUUGUUUCACUUUUUGAAUUUAUUUUUGUUUUAAUUGUAAAACGGUUGGAAAAAAAACUUUUAAUAUUUCUUUUUCUGUAAACGUUAUAACAAAAGGUAAAAUUACAAAAAUACUGAACUCCGACGCAUAUAGCAAAAAUGAAAGACAAGAACACAAAAGUUAUUCUUUACAUUUAUGCAUAUGGUUUAUUCUCAGAUAAUAAACAUUUAUGACCGAGUGAUAUACGUAGGUUUAUAAGUUUCUCGUCUUUUUAAAUAUAUUUUAAUUAAUUGUGAUCGCGAUGUUCCUGCCGGGAGUCGGGGUUCCUUCUUGGUAAUCACGGUUUCUAGGCUAACAAAACACAUAGCCGACAUGAUUUAUCAAGUAGCGUUAAAAAGAGCGUUAAAAACUAACAAUGAGUCAAUUAAAAACUAUGAAUAAUGAGUAUAAUCUAAUCGGUGUAAAUAUUAUAAAAUGUUUUCCAUGUUUUACGGUGUACAUAUUUGCCUGGCAGAGUUGAUCGGUAAACUUAUCGAUCUUUUAAAUACGAGUAUUCUAAAAGGUUGUCAAUUCACCUCUGUAAUUAUAUCACGGAACUUUGUUUUUAUUGGUAUAAAUAUUGAUUCUUUCAUCAGUAAAUAAAAGCAAACUAAAUAUUAUUGUUAUGUACAUAUUCACCUUUUUAUGGAUCUACAUUCUGUCGAUACUUGUAUCCUGGCAUAACAAAAAGUAAUGCUUUUCUCUAACUGUUUAUGAAGUUUUUACACUUAAUCUAUUGGAUGUGGAAUGUUAAAUGAUUGAUAAUUUUGUCUUAGAUACAUUAUUUUUUAAAUUAGUUGCUAGUGGCUUUGAGCUAGCAGUCAGUAACUUCGAAUACUCUCAGAUCAGUACUUAGUGCGUGUUUGUUGUUUGGAAAUACAAAUACUAAGUCACAUAACCUCCGUGUGUUUGUUACAUGGAUUCCUAAUUGUAUCCGUCUGAUGGGUUAGGCCGUUCUCAAUUUAUUGUCGGUACCGAAGCACCGACUACUGAGCUGAUAUUACCCUAAGGGACUAAUAAUCCACCAGCAGAGGUAUUGACUCUCAACGUUUUAACAGCUCAUCUCUACCAAAACGAGAAGAUUAUCUGUUUUUGUUUAAUAAGAUAUCGUGAUUAACCGUGAUUUGUAAAGUAGUAUAGCGCAUUUACUGAAUAGCUCGGAAUACACAUGGCACCAACUUGGUAGAAGAAAACAGUUUAACACAAAAAAAAAAUCAACACCUCCGAGCUUCUAUGUUCUUUGCAAAUCUUUGAUGCCCUCGGAAAAAAAAAUCCACCAUCAAAUAAAUUUCUCCUAAGAGAUACUUUACACAAUACAAUCUUGAUUGUAGCUAAAAUGCGUUACUUGAUAUGUAUAUAUAAAUAAAUUAUGCAAAACAACUCCAUGACUAUUUUCAUUUCAGAUUGUAAUAUAAAUUAAAAUGGGAAACAAUAACGAAAAGGUAAGGUAAAAUUCAUGUUACAAAUUGUAAGUAAUGCUAUUGAAUUGAAAAGGUACACUCAAGCUAAUACGAAAUACCUUAUUCAUCCAAAAUAAAUUAAAGAUAAAUAACCUUUGUAGAUUCCUUAAAUUAUAUAUGGACAUUCCAUUUUCUACAAGUCAGAAUUAUGUUAUUUGUUCUUUUUUGUUGUCUGUCAACGGUGGCAGAGUUUGGUUUUGUCAGUGUGUACGGACCCAACCGAAGAUAACAACCGACGCCCACCAAUGGGUCUACAACGCAUCGAGAAAAACCCUCACUGGGAAGUGGGUCCAAGUUGGUUUGUUAUAGAUAUAAAACAACCAUUUCAAUUGAACAGCUCUAAAGACAAUGGAUGAAAUACACAUCUUAUAUUUUCUGGCUUAUGAAGCGCUCCUAUUUACAGCAAAGUGAAAUGGAGAAUGGACAUGGAGAAAGUUUAAAAUUGACAACAACUCAAAGCCACCAAAUGGGUCUUCAUCACAGAAACUUAUGGCAGGCUACAGCUGACCCCUUAACAAAAAACUUUCUCCAGUCAAGGAGUCCUACAUUAGGUAUAAUGUUUUAUGGUUUGGGAUCAAGAAUAAACUAAUAAGAAUAGUUGAAAUCUAACAGAAUGUAUACUAUAUGCAUACGCUUAAAUGUAUACGGUAUUGUUGUGCAUUGUUUUUCUAAAUUGGCUAGAGGAAUAGGGGGACGGUUGAGAUAUAAAAAAACAUGUUUAACACCGCAGCAUUUUUGCGCCUGUCCAAUGUUUUUUUUUGUAAGUCAGGAGCCUCUGGCCUUUGUUAGUUUUGUAUGAUUUUUAAUUUUAGUUUCUAGUUUUUAAUUCUGAGUUUAGUAUGACGUCCAUUAUAACUGAACUAUAAUGAUUUACUUUUAUAAAUUGUUAUUUGGAUGAAGAGAUGUCUCAUUGUCACUCACACCACAUCUUCCUAUAUCUAUCUAGUAACAUAUUUGUUUAGAGGCAAGCUGAAUGAUCACUCCGUGUGCGGGAGUUUCCCGUCGCAUUGAAGACCCAUUGGUGGCCUUCUGCUCUUGCCUGCUCUAUGGUUAGCUGGAUGAAAAGACAUCAGAACAGCAGUUGUCUUUUCGGGACAUUAUAUUUUCAUAAUUGGUGUCAACAUAAAAAAAAGAGUAACAAUAUUUAUAUAGAUUUUCGUCUGACAUAAUAAAAAGCUACACAUUUAAGUGUUUUGAGAAUAUAUUUAAAAUGUUAAUCCACAUAUAGACCUUAAAAACUUUUUGUUUAUAUCGAUAGACAUUGUAGAUCAAUCAAGGCUGACUAGGAUAAGUCUAUUGAAACUAUAUGUAAAAGACAAAAGAACUUUAUCACGAAAACCUCUGCUAUCCAUACGUCUGGAAUAAUAAUUCACACACAAACAUGGUAUCGGAACAAUUAAACGACAAGAGCCCCAACAAGAUAUCGCGGUUGAACAUUUAUGUUUUGUUAGAGUAACACAAUGUUCAAUCUCAACUUUUCUUGCUAAAUGUGAAAGGUCAAAUAAAAAAAUAAGAAAAAUAAACCCAGUAUACGAAACAAAUUUUCCGACUUAUGGACAUGGUGAACAAGCUGACUAUUUAAAGUCUGCUAUUAAUACAAUUUUCACAUUGCUUAUAUUUCACUUUUAUACCUAUUUCUUCGCUUCGUGUAGCUGGAAAUUGUUGACCAUGAAAAACCUGAUGAUUGUGAACAGCUGAAAAAAUGUUUAAAAAAGGCGAUGGAUGAGAAAAAGAUGGUUAUACUAGCAUUAGGCGACAGAGACAAAGAUUGGAUAAAAGAUGCGAGGUGUAAUGAAAAAAUAGUUAUGGUUGACUGCAAAUCCUUGUAUGAUGAACAGGUAACCAUUUGUAACCAUCUUAUAAGGAUACUGUGUUAAUAUAACACACGGACAUAAAAGUCGUAAAUAUCACUUUUCUGUUACAAAAUAUGACGAACAACUGUACAAUUGACCAUUUAAAGCACUAUUUGGUUUGCAAUAAGUUACAUGUAUUAUUGUCGACUUUCUUUAAAGUAGAAUACACUACAAUACAUAUGUAAUGGACGUGUCAAUAAGCUGAACCUUUUACUUGACCAAACAGGCAGAAAUAAUUUAACAUUUUAUCUUGUAAGACAAUUUUUGUUGAAAAGGUCAACGUUUUCGACUCUUCUAAUCUUGUUGUCUAUGAAAUCAGAUAUACAUACUUUUCUUAUUGCUUGAUUUGACAGGUAUUAUUUCUCAGAGUUGAGUUAUUACUAAUAUCAGGAACUUUAAAUUUAAAUACUGUCUAUGUUUCAGAUGAAGCGUUCAACGUCACAACCUGUUUGUCCCGAUUUGUCGGAACAGGUAAGCAUCUAAAAACAUAGAUGGCAAAAAAUGGAUAGAUGAGUUCAUUGUUAAUACAUGCUUUUUCUUGUCAUUACGUUAAUGUUUUUGUUGUCACAAAUCGUAUAAUUUGGUUUAUAUGGCAAUAAAAAGUUUGAUGUGAUAUGAUUUGUUAAUACGAAGUUCUGUUAGGAAUUUUGUAUAUCAAUGCUCUUCAACUUCGUACUUUAUUUGGCUUUUUUUUAAACUUUUUGAAUUCGAGCGUCACUGAUGAGUCUUUUGAAGACGAAACGCGCGUCUGGCGUAUAUAUAAAAUUUAGUCCUGGUAUCUAUGAUGUGUUUAUUUAUAGGCCAAAUUUAUCUAAAAACAAAGUAUUUCUUAAACUCAUUUAAAACAAAACACAAUGGUAUAACAAAGUAUAUUUAACCUAUUCUGGAAAUGUUCAAAUUUAAAGCACAAGGAUCAUUUAUGAGUUCUACUAUAUAAACGUCAAAUGUAAUGAACAAGAAAGAAAUGUUCAACGCAGCAGCAAUAUUCUGUUAAUAUGAUAAUUGGGCAAACUAAAUCUAGAAUUUAAAACUGAACAUUUGAAGACUUGAUGAAAGAAAAAAAAUCAUUGCAGCUUUAUAAAUGAUACAAAAGAAUUGAACAAUUUGAGAUUGUAAUUGAAUUUUUCAUAAAAAUGUCAAGUCAUACACAUAUCAUAAAAAACAUACGGGAAAAGCUUAUAUUGAAUAGAAAUAUCACAAAAUACAUUAAAUGAACAGUAUGGUAAUGAUUAAAUAUUCGUUCGAAUGGAAAAAGUUUGGCUUCAAGAAAAGAAGGACUAGCUGAUAAAUUGAGGUAACAGAAAAUUGCCUAUGUUCAGAAAUAAAAAUGAAAGUUUUCACACUUAUAAAGUAGUCAACAAUUGCCCUAAACUUAAGAAAUAAUAGACAUAUUCAUAUAUUUGUAUUUACGAUACAUGAACAUAUUGUAGACACAAUGUGCUGAAGAUGAAAUUGACAAAACGUUAGCUAGUUUAAAAACACGGAUUGGAGAUACACCAACUGUUCAGAAGGAAAGGUUUGUGAAUUGGGGUAAGACACAAUCUAUGGAGGUUAUUUCGUCUUCCCCUACAACAAAAGAAGAACUUCAAAAGUUGGUGUUAGCAGCAUCUGAAGAAGGUCUGAGUGUAAGAUGUGCUGGAAGAGGUCACAGCUGGGCUCCAUUAUUCUCGGACAGUAAUCAACUACUUAUUCAUGUAGAAGAUAUGAAAAGCGAUUACAAGGAUGGGUCUAAAAUUAGAAUAUCUGAUGUAAGCGUUAUUACACAAGUAUAUAAAAAAAUGUAUGCUUUGAAAACGUUAAUUAGACAUACAAAAUCGAAAUGAUUCUGAGGACAAUAAUCGGUCCAUCACAUUAGGGUCCAUUCAAUAUAUCAAAAGAAAUUUAGUAUAUUGUGGAUUAUAUAAAAAAGACAACAAAGAGAAGAUAACACCUACAUGGAUCGGAUGUGUUGUGAUAAAUAACAUCAUCAACGAUACACGGCUAUAUAAUUUGGACGUUAGUUGCGAGUAUUGUCUAACCAAGGUUGAUAGUGAUUCUCGAUUCAUAAAUUUAGAACAGUCAAAUCAAGUACAAUUACUAUUUUAUAAAUCAAGUAUGAAUAAAUGAUUCUAUAACAACACCUAUUAAAAUCCUGUCACGAUUUCUUGAUUUCCGAAGAAAAACAGACCUCAUUAUAUACAUAACCAGACUUAAUAUUUUUUUUGAAAAUGGUCAUGGCAUGUUCGUUUAUACUCUUGUUAUAAAAUGAAAAAUAAUAUUAUAUUAACGGCAUUUCAGCGUGAAAAAGGAGAAGUGGACAUUAUGACCGGAGCUACGACUGGAGAAUUUAAAAAGUUCCAACUAGAACACAAAGUGAAUAUACCUGGUAAUGCUGUUUUAGAUUGUGUUCAUAUGGUCAGUGUUGUAGCAACAGGUUGUCAUGUAAGUUUUCUUUUAAAUCAAUGUGUUGAGUGUUGAAUAUAAAAGCAUUCCAAUAUUAACUUCUUAUAGAAAUAUGUUCCAUGUAUUGCUAAGGUUAUAUUUAGGUACUGGGGGGGGGGGGUGACAUGACCAAUUAUUCGGCCCCAGAAGGAAAUUAAUAUAAAAAACAAACUUUAUUAUUAUACAUUACAUAUAUUUCAAACAAUUCUAUCACGUGACAUGGAAUAAUUCAGUUAAUUUUCAUUCAAUUGCAAGGAAGGACGAAUAACCCUAAAAAAAAUCCACCAGCGGUGAAUGACCCUAUUAAUCACCGGCGAAUAACCUUUUUAGUUAGCUGAUUUGUGGCCGUUUUUGGCACAACUUUUUUGAAAUUUUGGUCCUCGAUGCUGUUCAACUUUGUACUUGUUUUGGCUUUCAAACUUUUGUAUCUGGGCCUCACUAGUAAGUCUUGUGAGGAGAAAACGCACUUCUGGCGUAUUAAAUUUUAAACCUGGUGCCUUUUGUUAGCUAUUAUUUAUUUGUUUCUUUGUCAAUUGUGUUUUCCUAUUUAUUUUUAUUGUAGUCCUGUAAUGUUGUGUUGUCAUUUUAAUGUUAUAUUUAACAUGGCAAUAAAAGAGGCGGUUUUGCAUGCCACAAAACCAGGUUCAACCCAACAUUUUGUUCUUUAAAAAAUUUCCUGUACCAAGUCAGUAAUAUGUAAUAGUUCGUUUCUGUGUGUGAAAUUAUCUUAGAGUUCGGGGUUUUUGUUCUACGUUUAGACAUAUACUGUAUAAAUAUAUAGUUCGUAUGAAAUUUAGUUAAACAGUGUCAGAUCUGCAAAUCUGCUAGUCCUAAUUUUUUUCCUUUCCUAAGCGGGUUUCAAAUUCAUGCUUCUUUGAAAUUUUUAGGCUGCAUUUGAGAUGAAGUAAACACAAAUUAUGGUUUAAGCCCUGCAUUACCACAGGUAAUGACAUGUACAUUUAUGCCAUACAGUUUUUUAAUUUAUAGAUGGUUAUACGUAUAACAGUUGUUUAAUUUACAGAUGGUUAUAUGUAUAACAUGUAAUAUUUUGUUCAUAUAGGGUGUUGGAAAGGAUGUACAGACACCAGGUGAUGAUUUAGUGAGAAUGCGCGUAAUCGGAAGCGAUGGUAAACUGCGAACCUAUACAUCAGACGACAAAGAGAUGUUGAAAGCGAUAAGUUCAAACCUUGGAUGUUUUGGAGUUAUAUUCGACAUGACAAUAAAAUAUGUCCCUGAAGUUAUCGUAAAAGUAGAAAAUCGGUACGAGCCACUAAAAGAGUUAUUCUACAAACCUGAUAGUUUACAAAACCUAUUUGAGGAAAACUGGUCAGUUCAGAUUCUUUGGUUUCCUUACAACUCACUCUGCGUUUUUGAUUACGAUCCAAAAGAUGAUGAAUUAUGGAUCCGUGUAAUUAACAAAAAACCGAAGGACACAAAGAAAGUAAAGACAGAAACCCAAACAUACUACGACUGGAAAGAAACGAAAGAUUGUUUGACCGCAGAAGGAUUGUCGAUCGUGUCAUCAGUAGUAGUUGGAAAUCCUUCUUUGACUCCAUGGUUUGCGUGGGCAGCCUUUGGAAGUUUGAAGCAUAUCGUAUUUCCCAAAGGUCCACUGUAUCAGGAACUUCCUCACGCUGUUCAUUUUAGGUAAGACUGUUUCAUAUUUAUGAUUAAACCCCUAGAUAUGGAUAUGUUAUCGCAAUAACAUAACAUAGGCUACUAAUGUCAAACGAGGCACAGGCCAGGGAAGGAUUUCAACAUAACAAUAUUUGGCACAAGUAAUCCUAUACAUGCGUUUUCCAUGAAAAUCUAAUUGUAUAAUAAUGAAUAGAUAUAAUUUGUUUGGAAUAAGCUGAUUGAGUGGUUGGUAAUAUUUUAUGACAAUAAAAAUAUGAAGUAAUUUGAAUAUUUUUAAAACAUUUCUACGUAUUUGUGUUUUAUGGCAACAAUGUCGGACGCAUGCACGGUAUUUAAAUACAAAAUGACCUGUUUGAUUUUAUAGAAUGCAUCUUUGCUUAAUAACAUGUAGUACAUAUUUCAUUUGUAAGUUUAAAUUAUAGUUAUUUCGUUUCAAGGUAAACUGUAUUUAGCUAUGAUAUUCCAGUAAAAAAUACUUUUAAAUAGGUAACUCAUUAAUUAUUUGAUACCUUAAAAUUACUUUCACAGACAGUUUACUCAUAAGGCCCCUGUGAAUUGCAUGGAGUUUGCGUUCGACUACAAUCCUCAACGACUGCAGAAGAUUAUUCAAGUCGUGGUGGAAAAAGUAGAUCAUCACGAAGAUAAAGAUGAGUAUCCAUUGAACCUUGUUAUGGAAAUGCGCCUGAUGGGUUACAGGUAAAUAUAAACAAAGAAAUAACGUUAGUAUUUAUAUAAACACGUUUUCAAUAUUUUGUCAACAUAACACCAAUCCUUAAUUAUUUGAAUAAGUACUAUAACCUUACUAUCUUACUACAUACAGGAACAUUAUUGUGGCAAAAUAGGCAACUGUCUACCUCUUAAUUUUAAAAUGUGAUGUUGUAUUUUGUUUUUUCAAAGGUGUCUUUUAAUUAUAAAUUCUUAAUUUAAUUACAGUGACUCAUUUCUUUCUCCUGCUAUAAUCGGAAAUCCAGCAUAUGGUGGAUCUGGUUGCACUUUUACAAUAGAAGUUUUAAGUAUUGUCGACACCAAAGGAUGGAAAAAGUUUGCCACAGACGUAGGAAAAGAGUGGAUGGCUUUAGAUGGUGUUCCACAUUUAGCAAAGCAGUGGGACUUUCUUCCUGGUAUUGAGGAUCAUAUCUACAAGGUAAGAAAUAAAGAGAAGCUAUGUGAUUAGAAAAGUGAAAUUGAAACUUGAAUUAAAGACCAAAAUUUUUGUCUGGUCAGCAACAUUAUUGAUACCAUCAGUCCGUCAGCAGCUAUAGAAAGUACACAAUUAUAUUAUUGAAUUACUUUGACAAACAAACUUGAGAAUGCAAAUGGGGAAUGUGUCAAAGAGACAACAACCCGACUAUAGAACAGACAACAGCAGAAGGUCACCAGUAGGUCUUCAAUGCAGCGAGAACUUCCCGCAUCCAGAGGCGCCCUACAGUUUGGCCCUAAACAAAUAUAUAUAUACUAGUUCAGUGAUAAUGAACGUCAUACUAAACUUCAAAUUAUAGACAAGAAACUAGAAUUAAAAAUGAUACAAGACUGACAAAGUCCAAAAACUUGUUUAAAUUCAUGUAAGACACAAAGUGCAUUCUAUUAAUUUUUUUACACUUACAUUUAAUAUUUAUUCAGCUUUUGGGCAUUUAAUUUAGAAAACCAAAAUCACCAUGUUUUUGCAUUAAUUAUCAAUGAAUCAACACAAGCAAUUUAUCAUAUGGUCUACCCCAUUUGACAAACCGGACUAGUUUUCUCGUUUUAAUUGUUUUAGAUUUAUCAUUUUGAGGCUUUUUAAAGCUCCCUAUACGGUAUGGGCGUUGCUCAUUGUUGAAUGCUAUAAGGUGACCUAUAGCUGUUAUUGUCUGUGUCAUUUUGGUUUCUUGUUGGGAGUUGUAAAGUUGACAAUUAAACCACGUCUUUUUUUAAUAUGUAGAAUUGCAUUGCCAUUUAAGCGCUGUUGCCACGAUUUCUUAGAAGCUUGAAAUUACAUCUUGCGAAGGAAUGAAAUAUUUUACAAUGCUAGAUCUUGCCCAUUAAUCAUUACUGUUGUAGUCUAAGUAUAUAAAAAAAGAAGAAGAUGUGGUAAGAAUUUAAAAGUUACAACUCUGUACCAGAUCUUAUGUAAUUAGCUAUAGGUCACAGCAUAGCAAAAUAUGAUCGGACGAAGAAUGUUUGUCCUAUAACGUUUUACGCUAAACACUCAUUAUCCUAUGAUCAACAUUUAGGGCCUUAAAUAGCUGACUAUACGAUAUUGGUGUUGUUCAUUGUUGACCUAUAUGUUAAUUUCUGUAUCAUAUUGGAUCUAAUGGAGAGCUGUGUCAUUGGCAAUCAAAUCACAUCUUCGUUUUUUUUAUAUCAGAGUUAAGAUCUUCUAUCGUUUUUGGCAUUGACAUUAUAUUAACUCCAAAAAUAUGAAAUAAAUUUUUAUUGAUUAACCAUGUAUAACAUAAACUCUUCUUUCCAAAUCUUGCAGCAUAUGGGACAACAUAUCGACGCAUUCAAGGAGCAGCUGACGAAGUCUGGCGCUGAUCCAAAUGGAAUGUUUCUCAAUAAAAGCAUCCGAAAACUGUUAAGACUGUAGCAUGUCUGACCUAAACUUGACGAAUGUGUGUGCUGUGAUAUUUUGAAGUAAUUUGCCAAAUUAUAGAAACUGAGCCUUUUUUUGUUAUGAAUAAAA
rnacentral:lncRNA from 1 species